UAAGGAAUAUUGGUCAAUGGAGGCAACUCUGAACCAGCCAUGCCGCGUGCAGGAAGAAGGCCCUAUGGGUCGUAAACUGCUUUUGAACAAGAGAAAACCCCGGUACGUGUACUGGGUUGAUAGUAUUGUUAGAAUAAGCAUCGGCUAACUUCGUGCCAGCAGCCGCGGUAAGACGAAGGAUGCAAGCGUUAUCCGGAUUCAUUGGGUUUAAAGGGUGCGUAGGCGGACUGAUAAGUCAGUGGUGAAAUCUCUCGGCUUAACCGAGAAACUGCCAUUGAUACUGUUAGUCUAGAGUACAGAUGAUGUGGGCGGAAUAUGACAUGUAGUGGUGAAAUACUUAGAUAUGUCAUAGAACACCGAUUGCGAAGGCAGCUCACAAAAACUGUAACUGACGCUGAGGCACGAAAGUGCGGGGAUCAAACAGGAUUAGAUACCCUCGUAGUCCCUGAGCGGGCUGGCAAGGCGCAU
rnacentral:rRNA from 1 species